rnacentral:rRNA from 1 species
UCGAGCGAACGGACGAGAAGCUUGCUUCUCUGAUGUUAGCGGCGGACGGGUGAGUAACACGUGGAUAACCUACCUAUAAGACUGGGAUAACUUCGGGAAACCGGAGCUAAUACCGGAUAAUAUUUUGAACCGCAUGGUUCAAAAGUGAAAGACGGUCUUGCUGUCACUUAUAGAUGGAUCCGCGCUGCAUUAGCUAGUUGGUAAGGUAACGGCUUACCAAGGCAACGAUGCAUAGCCGACCUGAGAGGGUGAUCGGCCACACUGGAACUGAGACACGGUCCAGACUCCUACGGGAGGCAGCAGUAGGGAAUCUUCCGCAAUGGGCGAAAGCCUGACGGAGCAACGCCGCGUGAGUGAUGAAGGUCUUCGGAUCGUAAAACUCUGUUAUUAGGGAAGAACAUAUGUGUAAGUAACUGUGCACAUCUUGACGGUACCUAAUCAGAAAGCCACGGCUAACUGCGUGCCAGCAGCCGCGGUAAUACGUAGGUGGCAAGCGUUAUCCGGAAUUAUUGGGCGUAAAGCGCGCGUAGGCGGUUUUUUAAGUCUGAUGUGAAAGCCCACGGCUCAACCGUGGAGGGUCAUUGGAAACUGGAAAACUUGAGUGCAGAAGAGGAAAGUGGAAUUCCAUGUGUAGCGGUGAAAUGCGCAGAGAUAUGGAGGAACACCAGUGGCGAAGGCGACUUUCUGGUCUGUAACUGACGCCGAUGUGCGAAAGCGUGGGGAUCAAACAGG